UACGUAGGGGGCAAGCGUUGUCCGGAUUUAUUGGGCGUAAAGCGCACGCAGGCGGUGAGGCAAGUUUCAAGUGACAGGUGGUGGCUUAACUGCCACAGGCCUUGGAAAACUGCCGCACUUGAGGGCUUGAGAGGGACGCGGAAUUCCAGGUGGAGCGGUGAAAUGCGCAGAUAUCAGGAGGAACACCGGCGGCGAAGGCGGCACUCUGGGCCGGUACUGACGCUGAGGAGCGAAAGCGUGGGUAGCAAACAGG
rnacentral:rRNA from 1 species